rnacentral:ncRNA from 2 species
CUUACAUUGUCAUACGACUUCCGUAUAGGUGCAGGAAUCGGCCUGCAUGUCUCUACCCGAUCACCGGAAUGAUUGGACUACGGAUUAGCCAUAUCAUGUC